rnacentral:rRNA from 1 species
GAUGAACGCUAGCUACAGGCUUAACACAUGCAAGUCGAGGGGCAGCGCAGUGUAGCAAUACAUGGGCGGCGACCGGCGCACGGGUGCGUAACGCGUAUCCAACCUUCCCGUUACUCAGGGAUAGCCUUCCGAAAGGGAGAUUAAUACCUGAUGGUGUUGAAAUUCCGCAUGUUAUUUCAACUAAAGAUUUAUCGGUAACGGAUGGGGAUGCGUGACAUUAGAUAGUAGGCGGGGUAACGGCCCACCUAGUCUACGAUGUCUAGGGGUUCUGAGAGGAAGGUCCCCCACACUGGAACUGAGACACGGUCCAGACUCCUACGGGAGGCAGCAGUGAGGAAUAUUGGUCAAUGGGCGCAAGCCUGAACCAGCCAAGUAGCGUGAAGGAUGACUGCCCUAUGGGUUGUAAACUUCUUUUAUACGGGAACAAACCUUGGUACGCGUACCAAAUUGCGUGUACCGUAUGAAUAAGCAUCGGCUAACUCCGUG